CUGGAAUACUUCUCAGGUGAUUUUGAGGCAAAUACCAUACUUAGAAUUUCACAAAACUCUGAACACACAUCAGUAUUUCUGAUAGGAACUUAAAUUGUGAAUGGAUUUUGGAUAGCUUGAAUGGUUUUGCCGUGGUGAUUUUUUGAAAUUACCUUACAAAGGGAAUCAUUAUUGUAUUUUUAAAAUGCAGCUUCCAAACACGUCAAAGAAUUUUUUCAUACAGAUGAAAAAGUCAUUCUGAGGAAAUAUGCAUAGUUUCAAGACUUUACAACACUGUAUGGAUAACAGAAAAUUAAAAAACUGUCAGACAUCUCAUCUCACUCUGUCCCUCUGUUUGAGUAUGUGUGCUUCAGACUUCCAUUGUCUGAGAGAAAUAGCGCCCCUACAGGUUCAAUUCCCGGACUUUUACUUUCACUUUUAAAUCGGUUAAAAAUACAAAUAAAUACUUAGAUUUAAUUCACACUGACAAGCUAAACCAACAUAUCUGAUUAUUACCGGUUCAGGGCUCAUGGAUAAAUUAUUUCUGGCCAGAGAUACGUGAGAAAUAGGAGAGAUGAAUCACCGCUGUGAUCACGAGCGUCUGGAGUAAAGAGCUCAGAAAAAACAAAUUUAUUCCUGUUUUAAAGCUUUUAAAAAUAAAUUAUUACAGCGAUAUCACACAAUCAACCAAUUAGAACACACCAAGAGCUAAAUUCAGAUGUUUUUGAACUGUUUGUGUGAAAAUGAAAUAUUUGCAGCUGCCUAUCUGAAACCACCGCCUCCGAUCAGCGCGUACAGUGUCGAGCUCAAAACAAACGAAUUUAUUCUUGUUUAAGAGCUUUUUUAAAUAAAAUAUUACCACAAAUGCACACAAUAAACCCAUUGUAACACUACAAGAGCUAAAUGCAGGUGUUUGUGACCCGUUUAAGUGUGCAAGACUAUUUGAAAGCGCGACUGGCAGAAUAACAUAUAUCUCUCGAGCUGCAGGAUUCUGCCUUUCGUCGUACGAACGAACACAUCACGGACAAGAUUAUUUCAAAAUACAUAAUAGCUUGGCGACUAUAAACGAAAACAGCCACGUGAACAUAAACUGUUGAGAAAUAAAUCUGAAAUGGAUCUACUGGAUUUUAAUAUUAAGUGACCGCAUAUACCAGCUGCUUCUGUCUUCAAUUUUGAUCCAUAUAAAAAAUGAAACUCAUUCAUCUUGGCUGCUUUUUUUAAUGUGUGUACGUAUUUAUUUAUUUAUUUAUUUAUUUAUUUAUUUAUUUAUUUAUUAUUUUGCUCUAACAAGAAUUAAUCUAUAUUUAAUUAAAUCAAUUACAUUUUAUUUUACAUUUGAUUUGUCCAUUUCUGCAUCUAAACGCCUAAAAACCUAAAACAUGCUCUAUUAUACUAUUGUUAGCAAUUUCUUUAUCGUCCAAUUUAUCUGGUGUACACUUUUAUUUUCAUAAUAAACUUGUUUGUUAGAUUAUACACAGUUACAGUGGUCUAUAAUAAAUAUUGACAGGUUUUAUUCAAGCUGUUUAGAAUGAUUGCAGUAGGCUAAUGUUUUGAAAUGUAAAUAAAAUAAAAAAAAUUUAAAUAAAUAAAUAAAUAAAAAACAUUGGAAAAGAAUAACUGUUGUACAUUUUUAUACAUUUUGUAUAAUUUCAUAGUUUAUGCAUUAUAGUUAUAAAAACAAAUAAAUUUAGCCACUCACAUAAAAUCUUAUAGGCCUUAUCCUUUUCUGACAGUUUUAGGGAUUUUUAAAAAUCCUAAAAAACCUUAUUUGUGCUGCAAAUAAUAAUUUCAAACUCAAACAGUAAAUAUUCAGUUCAUGCUUUAUAAAGCCUUGUCCCAAUAUUAAUAGUCAGUAGUAAGCAGUUUAUAAAUACAGCUAUAAAAAGCUUGUUCUUGGGUUAUAAGCACAUUUAUUAAAAAGGAGAGUAAAGGGUCAGUUAUCUUCCUAUGAAAAAAAAAAAAAAAAAAAAAAAAAAACAAACAACAACACAGAUUGAUACAGAACUCAGAAAUUUUAUUGUGGAUUUAUGAUAAAAUCAGCCUGUAAAUGAAUUCAUACUCCUCCAAGAAGACACAAGUUCACAGCAAACUUUUUUAACAUGAAGCUAAUAUACUGAAGAUGUUAAAUUGCGAAUGGGUUUAGGAUAGCUUAAAUGGUGUGGCCAUAGCGAUUUAUUAAAGUAACAUAAAAAAAUACAAUCGUUAUUUUACUAUAUCUUUAAAAUUUUUCAUUCCAACUCUUCAUAAUUUUUUAUGUACGUAGAAGUCAUCAUUUGAAGGAAGCACAGUAAGUUUCAUAGCUUUAUCAUUUUCAAGAGCCAGCAUAAAAUUAAAACUAUCAUAACUUAUAAAUCAAGCUUGCAAUUCUUAGUUCCAAUAAUGACCACCAGAUGGAGCUAUAGGAUUACUUUUAAAUAAUUAUUGUAAAACAAGUAUGAUUUAAAUCAUUUAUAGAAAUCUUUCAAAGAAAAAUAAUAUGUAUUUUAUGUAUUUUACUGAUAAAAUGACCCUCACUUAAUUAGAAUAACAAGCUGAAGUAUUGUGAACUGUAUAUUAAGAAUAAUUCUUUAUAAGCUUUAUGGACAGAUACGUUUUGAGUGACUCUUGAAGGUUCAGCACCACAUCCUCUUUUACCACUGUUUAAAGAAUGUAUCUUACAGAACAGGUGUGAAUGAAUUUUGGAUAGCUUGAAUGAUUUUGCGUGGUGAUUUUUUGAAAUAACAGUAAAAAAGUAACCAGUAAAUGUCUUUUAUUUUUUUAAAGUGCAGAUUCUAAACACUUCAAAAAAAUGUACACAUAGCAGACAAGUCAUUCUGAGGAAAUAUGCAUAGUUCCAUGACUAUACAACAUUAUAUGGAUGAUAGAAAAUUAAAAAACUAUCAUACAUCUGAUGUCACUCUGUCCCUCUGUCACUGUGGUUAAUGUGUGUGUGUGUGUGUGUGUGUUUGUGUGUGUGUUAAGUGAAUUAGGUGUGAAACUAUCAGGGAGCAUUUAGUCUCCAGCGCCAACAUUUUACAGAACUGCCACUUUCCUGGAGUCUCAGAAUUACAAUGUGCCAGGUUCUGAGAGAUCUAAGAUUCCAAAAAAUUAUUUAAUUAGAAUACUAUGAAGUAUUGUGAAAUACUAUAUAUUAAGACUUUAUAUAUAGGCUUAAUUAACAGAUUAGAGUGACUCGUGAAGGACCAGCACCACCUCCUCUUGUCCGAUGGUUUGAGGAAUAUAUCUUCCAGAAUCCGGGAUUAAGAUUUAGGAGCUCAUUUUUAUUCCACCUCCUUUCCUGAAAGUCUGUCUUGCAGAAUUGACUAAAAAUUAAUCUUCACAUUAAUUCCUAAUUAUUUUGCAAUUCUUUUUGUCAGUUCUUCUUGACCUGUUUUUCUCUUCCAGCUUUCCUGGACUAUUGUAUAGCACUCAUAAAUGAUUAAAUAAAAAAUAAUGGUAGUUAUUAAGAUUGAUAUGGUUUGGAAUUGGUAAAAUGUGCUUGGAAAAAAAUCACAAUAAAACAAUGUUUUAAUGUUUAA